rnacentral:rRNA from 1 species
GACGAACGCUGGCGGCAUGCCUAAUACAUGCAAGUCGAGCGAACAGAUGAAGUGCUUGCACUUCUGACGUUAGCGGCGAACGGGUGAGUAACACGUAAGGAAUCUACCUAUAAGCGGGGGAUAACAUUCGGAAACGGGUGCUAAUACCGCAUAAUAUCUUCUUCCGCAUGGAAGAAGAUUGAAAGACGGCUCUGCUGUCACUUAUAGAUGACCUUGCGGUGCAUUAGUUAGUUGGUGGGGUAACGGCCUACCAAGACGAUGAUGCAUAGCCGACCUGAGAGGGUGAUCGGCCACAUUGAGACUGAGACACGGCCCAAACUCCUACGGGAGGCAGCAGUAGGGAAUCUUCCGCAAUGGGCGAAAGCCUGACGGAGCAAUGCCGCGUGAGUGAAGAAGGCCUCCGGGUCGUAAAACUCUGUUAUAAGAGAAGAACAAAUUGUAGAGUAACUGCUACGGUCUUGACGGUAUCUUAUCAGAAAGCCACGGCUAACUACGUGCCAGCCGCCGCGGUAA